rnacentral:rRNA from 1 species
UACAGGGGGGCAAGCGUUGUUCGGAAUUACUGGGCGUAAAGGGUCUGUAGGUGGCCAACUAAGUCAGACGUGAAAUCCCUCAGCUUAACUGGGGAACUGCGUCUGAUACUGGAUGGCUCGAGUGUGGGAGAGGAAUGCGGAAUUCCAGGUGUAGCGGUGAAAUGCGUAGAUAUCUGGAGGAACACCGGUGGCGAAGGCGGCAUUCUGGACCGUAACUGACACUGAGAGACGAAAGCCAGGGGAGCAAACGGG